CAGCAUACAGCAGCAUUUCAUGACGUCAUCACGCUGUGUCAAGAAUGCUGUCAUCAAACUUCAACCUGCAGCAAUAUCUGAGGACGUGCAAUGUCAGCGCGUCGUUUCCUAGAAGCGCAGUAACGAGACGCGCCGGCUUGCAGCCUUCUAUUCUCGGAAAACGCUUAUAUUAGUGUGAAAAAUAAAAGUGACCGUGUGAUGGUAUCACACGUCCGCUCGCGUCAGCAUCUUGCCGGAAAGUGACCAG